rnacentral:rRNA from 1 species
GACGAACGCUGGCGGCGUGCCUAAUACAUGCAAGUUGAGCGAUGAAGAUUGGUGCUUGCACCAAUUUGAAGAGCAGCGAACGGGUGGGUAACGCGUGGGGAAUCUGCCUUUGAGCGGGGGACAACAUUUGGAAACGAAUGCUAAUACCGCAUAAUAACUUUAAACAUAAGUUUUAAGUUUGAAAGAUGCAAUUGCAUCACUCAAAGAUGAUCCCGCGUUGUAUUAGCUAGUUGGUGAGGUAAAGGCUCACCAAGGCGAUGAUACAUAGCCGACCUGAGAGGGUGAUCGGCCACAUUGGGACUGAGACACGGCCCAAACUCCUACGGGAGGCAGCAGUAGGGAAUCUUCGGCAAUAGACGAAAGUCUGACCGAGCAACGCCGCGUGAGUGAAGAAGGUUUUCGGAUCGUAAAACUCUGUUGGUAGAGAAGAACGUUGGUGAGAGUGGAAAGCUCAUCAAGUGACGGUAACUACCCAGAAAGGGACGGCUAACUACGUG